AUGCAUCGAAGUGGGAUUGUCAUCCAGCACUUUUCAGAACACUUGCCCUUGACAAAAGUAAGAAAGGAGCUCCUGGGUGCGACCGCGGAAGGGGUUGCCCAGCCCGCACCAUCCCAGGACCCUGGCCCGCAAGGAGCCGGCGCCUGGUCGGGGAAGGCGGGUUUGCGCCUGGGCCCCCUGAGCUGUGCCAACACGGGGCAGCUGUACUUCGGGGCCGGUUCCAAGCUGGCCGUGCUGGAGGAUCUGCAGAAGGUCACCCCUCCCACGGUCACAGUGUUUGAACCAUCAGAAGCAGAGAUCUCGCGGACCCAGAAGGCCACACUCGUGUGCCUGGCCACGGGCUUCUACCCCGACCACGUGGAGCUGAGCUGGUGGGUGAACGGGAAGGAGGUCACAAGUGGGUUCAGCACCGACCCGCAGCCCUACAAGGAGAGGCCCAGCGAGAAUGACUCCAGCUACUGUCUGAGCAGCCGGCUGAGGGUCUCUGCCUCCUUCUGGCACAACCCGCGCAACCACUUCCGCUGCCAAGUCCAGUUCUAUGGGCUCGGGGACGACGAUGAGUGGGAACACGAUAGAGUCAAACCCAUCACCCAGAACGUCAGUGCUGAGGCCUGGGGCAGAGCAGACUGUGGCUUCACCUCGGUGUCCUACCAUCAGGGCGUCCUGUCUGCCACCAUCCUCUAUGAGAUCCUACUGGGGAAGGCCACGCUGUAUGCUGUGCUGGUCAGCGUCCUGGUGCUGAUGGCCAAGGUCAAGAGAAAAGGUUCCUGAGACCAGCUCCAAAAGUGCAUCCUGAGAUGAUCAUGAGCCUCACCCUCGAUUCUCCUUCGCACGCUUCCAGUCUGCGUUUCUAAAAGAGUUAUUCUCUCUCUACCUCUUAUCACCUUCCUGCUGGGAUAUCUGUCCCCUCUCUCUGCUUCCCUGCAGACUGAGCUCCUCAGGCCUGAUACUGAAAUAGACUAAAACAAUAAAAGUGUC